GACGAACGCUGGCGGCGUGCUUAACACAUGCAAGUCGAACGGAAAGGCCCUGCUUUUGUGGGGUGCUCGAGUGGCGAACGGGUGAGUAACACGUGAGUAACCUGCCCUUGACUUUGGGAUAACUUCAGGAAACUGGGGCUAAUACCGGAUAGGAGCUCCUGCUGCAUGGUGGGGGUUGGAAAGUUUCGGCGGUUGGGGAUGGACUCGCGGCUUAUCAGCUUGUUGGUGGGGUAGUGGCUUACCAAGGCUUUGACGGGUAGCCGGCCUGAGAGGGUGACCGGCCACAUUGGGACUGAGAUACGGCCCAGACUCCUACGGGAGGCAGCAGUGGGGAAUAUUGCACAAUGGGCGGAAGCCUGAUGCAGCAACGCCGCGUGCGGGAUGACGGCCUUCGGGUUGUAAACCGCUUUCGCCUGUGACGAAGCGUGAGUGACGGCAAUGGGUAAAGAAGCACCGGCUAACUACGU
rnacentral:rRNA from 1 species